GCUGUGUGUACAAGGAGAUCCAGCUCCCCACCUUCAUAGCCCCCCCGUCUGCUGCCUCUUCUCCAGAGCUUCCUCGAUCCACGCUGCCUCGACAUCGACUGGGACACCUGGGCGGUUUCUGAGAACCUAGAUGGAUCUAUGGGCGACCGGCCUCUCCUGAACCUGGAUCUGAACCUGAACCUGAACCUGAACCCAGCUGUGUGUCCUUCAAGAAAGACAAGUCAAAGCAUCGCUUCAAUGAUUUUAAAAGACGACAACCCUCUACUCAAAGAGUUUAGCUGUUCAUCACAUUAAAAUCUGACUGAUUCAUGUUGAACUGUUAUUUAUCCAGAGAAGUUUUAUUAAACCUGUGUGUUUA